GGCCUACCUCUCAGUGAGAAUGGGUUCUGCUGAUGGUGGUGUCCAGAAAUUGCUGAUGGGGCUUCACUGUGCUUCCACCACAGCAAUUCUAUCGCAGUGGUGACAGUGAGGCCUGUAACAUUU
rfam:Tupaia chinensis contig190391, whole genome shotgun sequence.